rnacentral:rRNA from 1 species
GAAGGUGGGGAUGACGUCAAUAUCAUCAUGUACCUUCUACCUUUAUGACCUGGGCUACACACGUGCUACAAUGGAUGGAACAAAGGGAAGCAAAACCGCGAGGUCAAGCAAAUCCCAUAAAACCAUUCUCAGUUCGGAUUGCAGGCUGCAACUCGCCUGCAUGAAGCCGGAAUCGCUAGUAAUCGCGGAUCAGCAUGCCGCGGUGAAUACGUUCCCGGGCCUUGUACACACCGCCCGUCACACCACGAGAGUUGGUAACACCCGAAGUCGGUGAGGUAACCUUUUGGACCCAGCCGCCGAAGGGGGGACCAAUGAUUGGGGUGAAGUCG